GGGGGAAGCGCGCUCUCUUUCACUUCCGCCGGCGUUGCUGCGCCGUCUUUGUGUGUCGGGAUCGCCAGGCGGGUGUCGGUCGGCAGGUGGAGCACGGGAGCUGCAAGCAUAGAGACACAUCUGUUGCCGUUGAAGAUCCUCCCCCCAAAAAAGUAUGCGACUAGAACAAAGCCUCCCCUCCACCCUUAAGUAAGUGUGUGUCAGCAAAAGAUUACCCCACAACCAGCACAAACCAGCUCUGCGGUUUGGCCCAGGUCCAGGAGGCAACAGAGGCUGCACAGGAAUCCAGGGUGAAAAGUUCAGCAGUAAGGAAGAGGAGAUACUUCCUCCCAUGACCACUGCCCAGCCCUUCAAGACCCUUGCCCAGCCCUUCGAGACUGUUGGAGGACGGACAAGCGGACGAGAGAAGGUGGAGAUCCCGGCUGCUUGAGAGAAGCAGGACAACAUUGAGAACGUGGCCAUGGCUGACCGGUAACGACAAACCCCGUUGGGUACCAGCGAAAUGGGUACGUCCACACCUAACCCGUGAUACAGAAAAUGCAGAAUCCGAACCCCAGACAUCUAAGUGAAGAGGACCAUCGGGGAAAAACACUCUUGAAUUGUGAUGACAGAAGAUGGGAUUAAAUUCCACAUGUGAAUUCUAGGAGUAGCUGUUAGUAGAGCUUUUAACUUAGGGUCUCAUAUUCUGGAAUUGAUGCCUUUUGCCAGCAAUAUUAUUUCUGGUUAUCAAGAAGCUAGCAAAAGCUAAUUUUAGGCUAGAUCUUAAUCUCACUUUAGACUUAAAUGAAUUUUUUUAAUAAAGUUCAGACUUGGAGCCUAAAUGAGAGAUUCUGCAGUCCAUCUCAUCUUCACAAAGGGACUGGAAUGUAGCUUACUGUGCCUAAAAUUAGCCUUGACUGCUUCUGUACAAAUACAGUUAGGACAACUAGUUCAUUUUGUGCUGCUUUCAGGGAUCUCCUCCUAUCUUUAGGCUGUCACCAAGUCUUAAGCAGUUAUAAUAAUGCUCUUGGUAGUUUAAUGGCUCUGCUGUGCUCUGUCAUGUGGCUGACCAUACUGCAGUAUUACUAAAUCCAGUGACAUUUGCAGCUUCAGUGGUGGCUCUUUUGCUGCUCAAGUGUGUUAGGUUGUUACAAGGACUAUACAUGUAAUGUGUGAGCUGAAGGUAAGUUCGUGAAGUCUGGAAAAUGAAUGUAAAAUAGUCAUAGUACAUAUGCCAAUGUAAAGCAUUCAAAUGUAUGAAUAAAUUAAUAAAGAGACAUUGAUUCUCA